rnacentral:rRNA from 1 species
GUAGGGUGCAAGCGUUGUCCGGAAUUACUGGGUGUAAAGGGAGCGCAGGCGGGAAGGUAAGUUGGAUGUUUAGGCUACGGGCUCAACCCGUAUCAGCAUUCAAAACUAUUUUUCUUGAGUGGUGCAGAGGUAGGCGGAAUUCCCGGUGUAGCGGUGGAAUGCGUAGAUAUCGGGAGGAACACCAGUGGCGAAGGCGGCCUGCUGGGCACUAACUGACGCUGAGGCUCGAAAGCAUGGGUAGCAAACAGGGAUUAGAUACCCUGGUAGUCCAUGCCGUAAACGAUGAUUACUAGGUGUGGGAGGAUUGACCCCCCUCCCGUGCCGCAGUUAACACAAUAAGUAAUCCACCUGGGGAGUACGACCGCAAGGUUG